rnacentral:lncRNA from 1 species
CAGGGCAGUGGUGUACGAAGGAGGAGAGAAACUGUUUAUUUGAUUCCCAAACAUCAGAAGAUUUCCAUUCCUGUAUGGUCUAACUUCCCUCCUUUUCCAGGCAAUACAUUCCACACUGAAGACCAAAGUGCUUUGGCUUUCUCCCCUUCUUCCAACAUCUUCCCACAAAGCCAGGUAUUAGUGAAGGCCCUUGAAAAGCUGCACAAUGAAACUGCUUCUCCAGAUUAUCCCUUUGGGAUUAAGGAAUGGAACUUGUCCUACUGUUGGUCAACAGUAAACUCAACUGACUUUUCAUGGGGACGAUUGUCAUCUCUCAGGAAGCCAGAAAGCUACCCUUCCCUUCUCUAACUUCAUUCUGCCAGAAUUGAUAAGUGGCAUGAGUCUGUCGGCAGGUGCCGUGUACCUUGUGGGAGCGUAACACUCCAGCGCACCCUUUGGAGGCAGUACAGAUGGAACAGACUCCCCUCCCCAUGGAAGAUGGAGGAAAAUUGAUGGUCCAGUUUCUGUGCAUCCUUCAGUCUCCAUUCUUUAUCAGUUGCUUGGCCGCCAUUGUGUGAGUCACUCCCACUUAGAGCCAGGCAGGUCUCCAGACCACAGUGUCUGCUCCUCGCCACCUACACUGCCUGGCUGGAAGCUGUGUUUUCAUGAUGGCUUUUCUGACCACCCUGCUUGCUGUCUUCCCCAGACUUCUGAUGCAGCUGCUAUCUUCAGACCUCCUGGACUGCCCAAGAAAGGGAGUGGGAGCUAAUGCUCCAGAUGGGCGGAACAGCAACAAGAUGAACUGAAGGUGGCCAAAAAUAACAGUGCCUUCCAGAUGAGGUGACCUCAGAGCCAAGAGCAUCAUGGGGUAGAGUAUCUUGUUCCUAGUUUUAUGACCUAAAAAGUACACAGAAGAUCCAAAGAUACUACAGAGAGAAGGAAUAAAGUCUGCAGAGAACAAGGAAAUGGGAUUAGUUAUAAUUUUUUAAGUUGAAUUUCUUUGUGCACACACAUACACAAGAAAACACAAGCCUUUUAUAUAUGUAUGAAGAGAUUCCUAGAUCUCUAGUUGGAUAGACAGACAGAUAGAUAGAUAGACAAAUAGAUAUAACAAAAUACAAUAGAAGACCAAAAUGAAGAAAAAGAUAAAGACAACAUUGCCUUUCUUUGUUUGCAAUCGAAAUAAGUUUAAUAAAUCUUCACUGAGAACCAAGUAUGUCUGGUCCCAUUACCUUUCUGCAUGGCACGUCA